UACGAAGGGUGCAAGCGUUACUCGGAAUUACUGGGCGUAAAGCGUGCGUAGGUGGUUUGUUAAGUCUGUUGUGAAAGCCCCGGGCUCAACCUGGGAAUGGCAAUGGAUACUGGCAGGCUAGAGUGCGGUAGAGGGUAGUGGAAUUCCCGGUGUAGCGGUGAAAUGCGUAGAGAUCGGGAGGAACACCGGUGGCGAAGGCGGCCAGCUGGCGCUGACCUGACGCUGAGGCGCGAAGGCAUGGGGAGCGAACGGG
rnacentral:rRNA from 1 species